UGUAGUCUGCAACCCGACUACAUGAAGCUGGAAUCGCUAGUAAUCGCGGAUCAGAAUGCCGCGGUGAAUACGUUCCCGGGUCUUGUACACACCGCCCGUCACACCAUGGGAGCCGGUAACGCCCGAAGUCAGUGACCCAACCGAGAGGAGGGAGCUGCCGAAGGCGGGACAGGUAACUGGGGUGAAGUCGUAACAAGGUAGC
rnacentral:rRNA from 1 species